rnacentral:rRNA from 1 species
AGUGAACGCUGGCGGUAGGCCUAACACAUGCAAGUCGAACGGCAGCACAGAGGAGCUUGCUCCUUGGGUGGCGAGUGGCGGACGGGUGAGGAAUACAUCGGAAUCUACUCUGUCGUGGGGGAUAACGUAGGGAAACUUACGCUAAUACCGCAUACGACCUACGGGUGAAAGCAGGGGAUCUUCGGACCUUGCGCGAUUGAAUGAGCCGAUGUCGGAUUAGCUAGUUGGCGGGGUAAAGGCCCACCAAGGCGACGAUCCGUAGCUGGUCUGAGAGGAUGAUCAGCCACACUGGAACUGAGACACGGUCCAGACUCCUACGGGAGGCAGCAGUGGGGAAUAUUGGACAGUGGGCGCAAGCCUGAUCCAGCCAUACCGCGUGGGUGAAGAAGGCCUUCGGGUUGUAAAGCCCUUUUGUUGGGAAAGAAAUCCAUCUGGUUAAUACCCGGGUGGGAUGACGGUACCCAAAGAAUAAGCACCGGCUAACUUCGUGCCAGCAGCCGCAGUAACAC